GAUGAACGCUGGCGGCGUGCCUAAUACAUGAAAUUCGAGCGAACAGACGAGGAGCUUGCUCCUCUGACGUUAGCGGCGGACGGGUGAGUAACACGUGGAUAACCUACCUAUAAGACUGGGAUAACUUCGUGAAACCGUAGCUAAUACCGGAUAAUAUAUUGAACCGCAUGGUUCAAUAGUGAAAGACGGUUUUGCUGUCACUUUUAGAUGGAUCCGCGCCGCAUUAGCUAGUUGGUAAGGUAACGGCUUACCAAGGCGACGAUGCGUAGCCGACCUGAGAGGGUGAUCGGACACAAUGGAAAUGAGAAACGGUCCAGAAUCCUACGGGAGGCAGCAGUAGGGAAUAUUCCGCAAUGAGCGAAAGCCUGAAGGAGAAAUGCAGCGAGAGUGAGGAAGGUCUGCGGAGCGUAAAAAUCUGUUAGUAGGGAAGAACAAAUGUGUAAGGAAAUAUGCAAGUCUUGACGGUACCUAAUCAGAAAGCCACGGCUAACUACGUG
rnacentral:rRNA from 1 species